AUGUGCUCUUUAUUUGCAGAGGAAAUGGAGAGGGACCGCAUUUGCAUGAGAUGUUACAGGAGACCCACCUCCACAUUGCUGUUCAAAUUCUUCUCCAAGGGAUUUGAAAUCAACUACAUUGGGAUGUCUGAAAACACUUCCUCCUAUUAAAGGCAAAUGAUUAACCUAGAAAAAGCAGCACAUAAGGGGAGGCUUGGCUUGCUCACUUGCUCACUUGUUUGCAUGAAAUCAGAACUUAACGUCCAGGCAGGGAAGGAGUUUCGCCUGGUGACCUGCUGCUGUCCGGUUGUUUGCUGAAAUGACUUGAUUUUCAGUCACGUCUCUUGAAUGAGAUAAAGCAGAAGAACGAACUAGAUUAACUGCAUCUUGAGAGCUGGCCAGGAGUAAGAAGGGUGUUUGGAAGGAAGAGAAGGUGGGAAAUGAAGAGGCGGCAAGAGAUUCACUCAGGCAAUCAGGCAAACAAAUCAUCCAUCUUCCUGGCUCAGGUCAGGAAUACUCAAAAAGCCCUGUGUCCUGCACAGCAGCCCUGAGCAGGUUCAGUGCAGCAGAUGCUCUCUGGCUGAGUUAGAGAAACAGAUAAAACUCUCAUUUCUCUCUGAGCAGUAAGUACAGAAGAUGAGGCUGUGACAGUUUCAUUAGGAAUAAUAGAGAGAAAUUGUGUACAAUCAUCUCUGAUGGGUUGCCAGUUUUCUGACAAUGGGCUCAGCAAUUAGUUUGUCAAUUUUUAACCAAAUGCAAAAAUAAUAAUAACCCCCUGCACGAGCUUUUGAUCUGCCCUGCCACCUUUCACCUGAUGCCCCCAAGACCCCGAAGUACCCCCACUUGGCCUUUCAACAUUUGCCACACCCACUUUUGACCAAGGAAUUCAACCACCUCCUACAAGGGCUCUCAGAAGAUCCAGUGGAAAAAUCCUGGCUAUUCACCCUUUCCUCUCCUGGUCUCCCAAACCUUCCAAAAAA